rnacentral:rRNA from 1 species
GAUCUCAAAUCAGGUAGGACUACCCGCUGAACUUAAGCAUAUCAAUAAGCGGAGGAAAAGAAACUAACAAGGAUUCCCCUAGUAACUGCGAGUGAAGCGGGAAAAGCUCAAAUUUAAAAUCUGGCGUGCCUCUGGUCGUCCGAGUUGUAGUUUAGAGAAGCGUUUUCUGUGUUGGACCGUGUAUAAGUCUCUUGGAACAGGGCGUCAUAGAGGGUGAGAAUCCCGUCUUUGACACGGACUACCAAUGCUUUGUGAUACGCUCUCAAAGAGUCGAGUUGUUUGGGAAUGCAGCUCAAAAUGGGUGGUAAAUUCCAUCUAAAGCUAAAUAUAGGCGAGAGACCGAUAGCGAACAAGUACCGUGAGGGAAAGAUGAAAAGCACUUUGGAAAGAGAGUUAAACAGUACGCGAAAUUGCUGAAAGGGAAACGCUUGAAGUCAG